rnacentral:rRNA from 1 species
GAUGAACGCUGGCGGCGUGCCUAAUACAUGCAAGUCGAGCGAACAGACGAGGAGCUUGCUCCUCUGACGUUAGCGGCGGACGUGUGAGUAACACGUGGAUAACCUACCUAUAAGACUGGGAUAACUUCGGGAAACCGGAGCUAAUACCGGAUAAUAUAUUGAACCGCAUGGUUCAAUAGUGAAAGACGGUUUUGCUGUCACUUAUAGAUGGAUCCGCGCCGCAUUAGCUAGUUGGUAAGGUAACGGCUUACCAAGGCAACGAUGCGUAGCCGACCUGAGAGAGUGAUCGGCCACACUGGAACUGAGACACGGUCAAGACUCCUAAGGGAGGCAGCAGUAGGGAAUCUUCCGCAAUGGGCGAAAGCCUGACGGAGCAACGCCGCGUGAGUGAUGAAGGUCUUCGGAUCGUAAAACUCUGUUAUUAGGGAAGAACAAAUGUGUAAGUAACUAUGCACGGAUUGACGGUACCUAAUAAGAAAGCCACGGCUAACUACGUG